rnacentral:rRNA from 1 species
UACCAGCUCUCCGAGUUGUAGGGACGAUUAUUGGGCUUAAAGCGUCCGUAGCUGGCUUAGCAAGUCUCCUGUUAAAUUCAGCGACCUAAUCGUUGAGCCGCGGGAGAUACUACUAGGCUAGGAGGCGGGAGAGGUCGACGGUACUUUCGGGGUAGGGGUGAAAUCCUAUAAUCCCGGGAGGACCACCAGUGGCGAAGGCUGUCGACUAGAACGCGCUCGACGGUGAGGGACGAAAGCUGGGGUAGCGAACCGGAUUAGAUACCCGGGUAGUCCCAGCUGUAAACUAUGCGGGCUAGGUGUGGGGGUGGCUACGGGCCACUUCAGUGCCGCAGGAAAGCCAUUAAGCCCGCCGCCUGGGGAGUACGGCCGCAAGGCUGAAACUUAAAGGAAUUGGCGGGGGAGCACCACAAGGCGUGAAGCUUGCGGUUC